rnacentral:tRNA from 15 species
UGUAGCUCAAUGGAUAGAGUGUCUGUCUCCUAAAAACGAACGGUAAACAGGAAGUUGUGGGUUCGAUUCCCGCCA